rnacentral:rRNA from 1 species
AAAAGGGAAGCGCUUGUGACCAGACUUGCGUCCGGUGAAUCACCCAGCUCUCGCGGCUGGGGCACUUCGCCGGCACAGGCCAGCAUCAGCUUGCCGUCGGGGACAAAAGCUUCAGGAACGUGGCUCCUCUCGGGGAGUGUUAUAGCCUGUUGCAUAAUACCCUUCGGCGGGCUGAGGUACGCGCUCCGCAAGGAUGCUGGCNUAAU